AGAAGGGCUCGCAUUUCCAUAGCAGCCCUUGCCUUGCUCCCUUCAUCUGUGGUUUUGUCUGCCUUCUCCAUCGAGCCUGUUUCUCCAUGAAUCAUACUGUAUACAUAACGGUGAUGAAAACGUUCAGUUGGAAAUUUCUCCCUGACUGUGGAGGAAACUGCGGAGGUUUUCUUUCAUCUGGCAAGAAGGAAGAACAAAGAAUUAUUACCACGCCUGUAACAGCACUUUGAAGGCUUGUUUCACCAAACAGAGUGCAAAUACCUGAAAAAGGGACCCUGAAGCAUGUCAUGGAGGCCAGGGAUGACUUCGUCAGCAGAACAGGAGACUAUGCCAUGUUUGGUUGAGUAACUAGCAGCUAAUAAGGUUGACAUUGAUAAUUUCCCUCCCUUCCCUUCUCUCCUUCCCACUAAAUCUGUAUACACUUCCCCCUCUGAGAAACAGGAACAUCAUUUUUUUAGAAAAGGAUAAAAUUUUUCCCUAUUAAAA